rfam:Myotis lucifugus cont2.5102, whole genome shotgun sequence.
GGCAGUUCUCGGGUGACACACCCCAGAAUCCGGCUCCCUCCUCUCUAGUUCCAAGUGCGUCACCCGAGAACUGCA